rnacentral:rRNA from 1 species
AUUGAACGCUGGCGGCAUGCCUUACACAUGCAAGUCGAACGGUAACGCGGGGCAACCUGGCGACGAGUGGCGAACGGGGGAGUAAUGCAUCGGAACGUGCCCAGUAGUGGGGGAUAGCCCGGCGAAAGCCGGAUUAAUACCGCAUACGACCUACGGGUGAAAGCGGGGGACCGUAAGGGCUCGCGGUAUUGGAGCGGGCGAUGUCAGCUUAGGUUGUUGGUGGGGUAGAGGCCUACCAAGCCGACGAUCUGUAGCUGGUCUGAGAGUACGACCAGCCUCACUGGGACUGAGACACGGCCCAGACUCCUACGGGAGGCAGCAGUGGGGAAUUUUGGACAAUGGGGGCAACCCUAAUCCAGCCAUGCCGCGUGCGGGAAGAAGGCCUUCGGGUUGUAAACCGCUUUUGUCAGGGAAGAAACGCUCUGGGCUAAUACCCUGGGGUAAUGACGGUACCUGAAGAAUAAGCACCGGCUAACUACGUGCCAGCCGCCGCCGUAA